rnacentral:rRNA from 1 species
UGCAACGCGAAAAACCUUACCCACCUUUGACAUGUACGGAACUCGCCAGAGAUGGCUUGGUGCUCGAAAGAGAACCGUAACACAGGUGCUGCAUGGCUGUCGUCAGCUCGUGUCGUGAGAUGUUGGGUUAAGUCCCGCAACGAGCGCAACCCUUGUCAUUAGUUGCUACAUUUAGUUGGGCACUCUAAUGAGACUGCCGGUGACAAACCGGAGGAAGGUGGGGAUGACGUCAAGUCCUCAUGGCCCUUAUAGGUGGGGCUACACACGUCAUACAAUGGCUGGUACAAAGGGUUGCCAACCCGCGAGGGGGAGCUAAUCCCAUAAAACCAGUCGUAGUCCGGAUCGCAGUCUGCAACUCGACUGCG